AAUAAUGAAAAAUUUUAAUUUUAAAUAAAGUACAAACAAGUUAGGCAACUCAAUACAAACAAUUUGAUCAAACUAGACUGAUAGUGAGAGCACAGAUUUUUAGAAUUUCAAAAAAACUGCAAUUGUGACGUCACUUUGACGUACUUCCGGAGUUUGCUCAAACUGUUUGACCAAAUUGUUUGAUGGUGAGACGCGGCCUUUAAGUUGCGAAAUAAUACAUACGUGUAACAGAUUCAGAUACAACAUUACUUAUAACAUACCAGACAAACUAAGUGACAUUUUAGGCCUACAGUGUCAAAUUUAAAGAGUUUCCCAAGUUCAAUUAAUACAAUAUUAUAAACAUACAAAUGUAAUAAAAAUUAUUGUUCGCGAAUAUUCAAUUUGGAAUGCGAUUUUGUUAAUAAAAAAAUACUUAUAACUUAUGCAAAACCCAAGAGAGGCAUUAUUUAUAUUUAUUUCUUUUGCGUUCAUUUUCAAAUUCGCCGUGCAUAUAUUUUUGUGCAUGGCGCUUGAGAGGGCAUCACGUGACUAAAAACGACCAACCAACGACCUCGCUUCGGCCAUCUUGGCAUCUUCAUUUUCAUUUCAUCUUGGCCACCUUGCCCGGCCUUGCCUUGCCGUGGAUAGUUUGUAUUAUUUGUGCUUUUUAAGAAUAUUUUUUUAAUUCGGAUACUUUUAUAAUAGCUUUAAUAGUAUUAUUAACAUAGUGCAUAAAAUGGUGUCCUGUUUUUGACGCAGUUGGAGUAGCAGAAACAGAUGUAGAUAAAAAAAUCUGCAGGAAUAACGUUUCAAUUAUGACAGAAGCUCGAAACAAAUGACUGUGAAUUAGUGUGAAUGAAAAGCCCUAUUAAAAGCUUUCCAGAAGAUCCUGCGAAGAAGACAUGAAGUAUAGAUCAGAUUUGUUAAUAGAGGAGUAUGUUCAAAACACUUUUUAGAAAAAGAUAUUGACAGAACUUCACUUUCAUCUGUUCGUUUGAGAGACUGUGCUGUUCCAAUAGCUUAUGUCACACAGGUAUAUGCAUAACCUAAUUAAUAAUAUAGUCCGUACAAUAUAGAUACUGUUGCAAUUCAUUAUCUACAUCGGAGAUCUAAGUUGACAUUGUUGCCCAACUACAAAAAAUUUUUGAAUUCAUUUUAAGUCAAAUAUAUCACAUAAUUAUUGUGAAGUAGAUUAUACAACAAAACAUAUUAAUAUUCAAUGUAAAUAAAUAAAAACAUCAGAAAUAGAAAACAAGAAUUAAGGUAUAAUCUUAUGUUACAGUUAUUAAGGUACCAAGGGUAUUAUAAGGAUAAUAACGCUUGAGGUCAAUGGUGUUUUUAACAAGGGCCUUCGUCCUGAGGGAUAUACGUUGACCGAAAGCGUUAUUAUUAUAAUACCUGUGGUGCCUUCAACGUUUAAUGUCCGACUAAAUUAUUCUUUAUAUGCGAAAAAUUUGAAUGAAUUUUGAAUUGAUUAGUUUUUAAAUAAGUACAUUUACCAGUAACAGUAGUAACGUAAUUGUGGUAACCAUAGUUUUACUUAGGUUGAUAUUUGUCAACUUGACAGUAUCUAAGUCGUUAUUUAAAUUUAAUGCCCAAGGGCGUUAUAUCGUACUUAACAGACUUCGAAAUGUCAUUAUUUGUCAAAUAAUGUACCAGUAGGACAUUAAAGUAAAUAAUAAAAACAAUAAAUAUAAUGAAUACUAAAUACUUAUUUGUUUGUGAAAAAUCUAUUUCUUUGUGGCUUUUUUGUAAUUAACUAUUCUAAUGGGGAAAUAAGCCACAAUUUACUUGAAAAAAUAAUUUUAUUAAGGUUUCUACUUCCACAUCGGAUGUCGUUGUCAAAAUACAAAAUGUUCAUUAUUAUUAUUUUAUUUAUUAAAUAUUAUUUAUUAUUUAUUUAAAUAUUAUUUAAUAUUUAUUUUUUUAUUAUUAUUAUUUAUGCGUAUUAUUACCUGUAAAUAAUAUUUCUUCUGAUUGUUAAUUGUAAAGGAUAGAAAAAUUACCUUUUAAUUUAUUUUCUUUUAGAAUCAGCUGAGAGAAGUGGUCUACAAAAAACCAGAAAGGAAACGGAAUAUGUGGCUACGAAAAGCAAAAGAAAGGUUUACAAAGCAAAUGUGACACAUUUUUUUAUAAUAUUUAGGAAUGUCAGUAAAUUACAUUAAAAAAUGUAUGUAAAGAUUUUUUGCAAUAAAAAUGUUUAUAUUUA
rnacentral:lncRNA from 1 species